UUCUGCCAUGCUCCGAGCAUGGAGUGCUCGUCCACAUCAGCACUAUUUCUGUUCGUCCAAUUAAUUGCAGCAAUCAUGACCGCCCAUUUGUGUCAACCGGUUACCUGCAAGAGUUUUCAAAGUUAAGGAAGAGAUAUGGGUAAAAAAGUGAAUGGUGAAUGGCGGGCAGGAGUGGUGGGGGUCGUUUUACCCCAGAGUGGUGCACGGACUGCUCCAGGGUGGUUCGAGUGGUUGUUGCCGGAUUCGAGGUCACCGGGUGGUGAUUACAGUGUGGCGGCGUGGCUGGGAUUCACCAUGCUCAGAUCGGGUCGAUUGAAUCCGGUCUGGGUUGCGCGGUUCGCAUCUGUUCUGGAGGUGGGCGGCGUUCCUCGCCGGCCCGACGGAGAUGAUGGGAGAUUUGCGGGACGGCUAGCGCUUUGGAGUGAAGGAGGCGGCAGUGGUGUUGCCGGUGGAGGGAAGGCAGGGGUCCUGCUGUCGGGGUGGCAAAUGUUCUUGUGUUAGUGAUCGUAAGUUUGGAAUUGAGUUUGGUAUGGUUUGAUUGUAUUGGACAGCUCUCUGGUUAUCGAUUCUGUUAAGUUGUUGAAUUAUGGUGUUAAGAUUAGGAAGUAAGUUGGAGCCGUGAUAAAUCUGUUUGGAGCAUCAAUCGUGUUUUGGUUGGUUUCGGAUGCCGAAGCGGCUGUUGUCACCGGCGGCUUUUAUCCGAUGAUGAUCCUCGUCCUAGAACACUUAUCAGUGCUCGGUCAAGUUAAUUCCACGACUUGGGCAGUGGGAUACAAACCUGGGCAUUAUCGAAGAGUAGCCGAGUUUGCUUUUCGGACAAAACAAGAAUUAAACCGACUGUUUCUGCUUUGUUUGGAAAUGCCAGAUAUCCACAGUUCCUCUCAGCUACCAGAUUAACUUCUUAUCAUCCUUCUCAUAGCGGAGGGUCUUCAGUGCACGGCCGUGCAACUGCACGUACCACGUGCUGGUCAUCCUUUCUCAUAAAAUUUGAUGAAAGUUGCGAGGUUCUGAUGAUUCGUUUAUCUCUGCUUCAGGAGGCAUCAUCAUUUGUGCCGGGGUUGGUGGUGGGGAUAACAACGGAGGAUCAGAUAGCCCCAAAAAAGUGUUGAUUUUGAUGAGCGACACCGACGGUCAUCGAGCUUCCGCAGAAGCCAUUAAGGCAGCCUUUUAAUAAAGGAUUUGGAGAUGAAUAUCAGGAAUUAUUUUUGCCUUCCAUCAGUUUGCCUUCCAUAGCCGAAGGAGUAGGUUCACUCUGGAUCAGGCCAUUAAGAAGAAACUCGAUGGAGAUUAUGAAUCAAUAUUUGGAGUAGGUACCAUGAAAUACUUGUGGUCUUUGUCAUGUACUAUGAGAAUGCAUUACAAUUUGGGAUUGGUAUCUACAAUUUGGUGUUAGAGCUUCUGUUAAUUAUGAGAGACUAUCUUGUUUGCAUGUUUCAAGAAUAUUGGAGCAGUUGCUGGGAAAAUUUCUUCUUGUGAAGAAGAUUCAAUUCUUGUAUUCAGUGAGGGUAAUACGGGGAUUCUGUUAAUUUCUUCUGGUUACUCUCAAUUGAAGCAUAAGAAAAUACCUCAAGUCAUAGAGCAAUUUGGUUGUUUGUGUUCCUCCUGUCUAAUCAUGCUGCGCCAAACAUGGCUUAAACUAGCUCCUUUUUUUUUUAAGAUGUGCAUCAAUAACUUCAUAAUAUGUACAACAGUAAAACUUUUGGUCUCUAAGAGACUGAGAUACAUCAACACAUUGUCAUAGUUUUACUUCCCAUAUAAACAUGGGUAUAGUGUAAGAAACACUAAUACACUACGGCCAGCUGAUAUUCAUAGUUUUUUUUUUCUCCUUUUAUACAAAAGUAUAUUCAUCCACAUACAAAGGAUGAAAGGACAAUCAAACAAGAGAAAUUCAGCAUGUGCCGUAACAUCAUUUUCAUGGAAUUGAUGACAGAAACCAAGAGUUGGUAG